GGUAUUUAGUCCAUUCCGAAGUUGUAGUUUGUUUUGACAUUUCCGUUUUAUUUAACCUAACCUAUGUUUUGUGUUUUAUUGUGUUGUAUACAAGGAGUUGUAUAUUGAAAUUGAAUUGAUUCUUGUUUCAUUGAAUAUAGAGGAGUUGUUCUGUUGCAAGUUGUUCUAGUUUUGUUGUUUUAAAAUCUGCGAAAAACUAUUUAUAGAUAAUGGUGAACUUAAACAAGAAAUGGACAUGCAGUUUGCUGAUUACUUAAUUGUGUACUCACAACACAUAGGAUUUCUCUGACACAGUUUCCAGUACAGAACUGCCACAGGAAUCUCCAGUGGAGUUGCAACCGCUCUCACGGACGUCCACAAAUCAAGUUACAAAACUGUUACAUGACUCUAUUGGAGUUGCAACCGCAAUUGGAUAAAAGUGAAAUUCGAAUAAUGCCAGAAAGACUAUAACCGUCCAAAGUGAUAGUGUGAAAUUAAAAUCAAAUGAUUACGUAUAAAUCAUAUUUAUAAUAAUUAUAAAUAGUAGCUGUAUUUUUUAAAUAAACAGAUUUGAUAAGUUA
rnacentral:lncRNA from 1 species